CCACCCUCCAAGCCUAAGUACUCCUUACCAACCGAUAGUGAACCAGUACCGUGAGGGAAAGGUGAAAAGCACCCCGACGAGGGGAGUGAAACAGUACCUGAAACCGGACGCCUACAAGCAGUCGGAGCCUCCUCGAGAGGUGACGGCGUACCUUUUGUAUAAUGGGUCAUCGACUUGGUCUCACGAGCAAGCUUAAGCCGAUAGGUGUAGGCGCAGCGAAAGCGAG
rnacentral:rRNA from 1 species